CGGAGGAAAAGAAACCAACAGGGAUUCCCUUAGUAACGGCGAGUGAACCGGGAAAAGCUCAAAUUUGAAAUCUGCCAACAGGCCGAGUUGUAAUUUGUAGAUGGCUACACUGCAUAAUAGUAGAUGCUCAAGUUCUUUGGAAAAAGACAUCAUGGAGGGUGACAAUCCCGUGAGGCAUGUUACUAGGAGCAUAUAGUGGGCUUUCUAAGAGUCGAGUUGUUUGGGAAUGCAGCUCAAAGUGCGUGGUGAAUACCAUGUAAAGCUAAAUAUGGACGAGAGACCGAUAGCGAACAAGUACUGUGAAGGAAAGAUGAAAAGCACUCCGAAAGGAGAGUGAAAUAGUACGUGAAAUUGUUAAAGUGGAAGGGCUUGAGAUCAGAAUUGGUAGUUUGGGUUCCACGUCCUCUUGGGGGCGUGUACUCCCUUUCCACCGGGCCAGCGGGAGUUUCGUCUCUUGGGUAAAAGCAGUGGAAUGUAGCAGCUUGUCUGUAUUAUAGCCUCUGUUCAUACAAGACGUCGAGACUUGAUUUGUUGGCGUAAUGAUCUCUAGCCACCCGUCUUGAAAC
rnacentral:rRNA from 1 species